rnacentral:SRP_RNA from 1 species
GCCUGGCGUGGUGGCUCGUGCCUGUAGUCCCAGCUACUCGGGAUGCUGAGGUGGGAGGAUCGCUUGAGCCCAGGAGUUCUGGGCUGUAGUGUGCUAUGCUAACCGGGUGUCCACACUAAGUUUGGCAUCAAUAUGGUGACCUCCCGGGGGCGGGUGACCACCAGGUUGCCUAAGGAGGGGUGAACCGGCCCAGGUUGGAAACAGAGCAGGUCAAAACUCCCGCACUGAUCAGUAGUGGGAUCACGCCUGUGAAUAGCCACUGUACUCCAGCCUGGGCAACAUAGCGAGACCCUGUCUCAA